GACGAACGCUGGCGGCGUGGAUUAGGCAUGCAAGUCGAACGGUAUCAUCCUUUCGGGGGUGAGAGAGUGGCGAACUGGUGAGUAACACGUAGGUUAUCUACCCUCAAGACGGGGACAACCCAGGGAAACUUGGGCUAAUACCGGAUGUGAGCAACUUUUAGUUGUUUGAAAGGUGGCGUAAGCUGUCGCUUGGGGAUGAGCCUGCGUCCUAUUAGUUAGUUGGUGAGGUAACGGCUCACCUAGGCAAUGAUAGGUAGGCGGCCUUAACGGGUGGUCGCCCACACUGGGAUUGAGAUACGGCCCAGACUCCUACGGGAGGCAGCAGUCGAGAAUAGUCUACAAUGGUCGGAAGACUGAUAGUGCGACGCCGCGUGAACGAUGAAUCCCUUCGGGGUUAAAGUUCUUUUAAUGUGAGCAGUGCUUCUUAUAUUAACAGUAUGGGGAGAGAGAUAUUAGCAUAUGAAUAAGCAACGGCUAACUCCGUGCCAGCAGCCGCGGU
rnacentral:rRNA from 1 species